ensembl:lncRNA
GUGUUCUCAGGUGUGAUCCAGGUCUCGGUGAGAGCGAGGAAGUCAAGCGACUGCUGGAUAGCGAAGCCAGAGAUGAAGUCUGCCUUGCGAGUAGCUGACCGGCAGUUCCAGAGACCUCAUGUGACGAGGGGGCUGUCCACGGAGGAACUUUUACAAAAGUUGGUGGUGGAAGGAGGAAUCCACAUUUCAGAAGAGGAGGCUCAGAAAUUUUGAGACAAUGAUGUGGAUGGAGAGACAGUAGACUGCAGACUCACAGAAAAUAUGAUUGCAUAUCUCUUUGACAAGUCUUUCAAAAAGCAGCUAAAAUUCAGAGACUUCACACACCGCUACAAGGAGGUCACCGUUACUUUGGAAUUGGUCAACCCAGAACAACAAACAUGUGAAGCUUCUGUGUCCCCAGCAAACCAGAGGUUGGAGUCUACUUGCCACAGACUGCCUGCAGUCAUUUCCAUUCCACAAUUCCCACAAGAUGUCCAGAGCCGCUUAGAUGCUAAAGAAUCGGUCCACAAGAAACAAAAGUACCGUAACAAAAUAAUUGUGACUCUGUAUGACAUGCUGUCACAGUGUACAAUGUAUCCAACCAACUCGGACUACGUUCAGGUCGUUAAAGCGUUCAUUGGGAAGUACCCUUUCUUAAGGGAUGUACACGGGAAUGGUUAUCAUACCUGGCACAGCCAACUCAAGAGAAAAUUCAAAACAGAACGGGCUCCACUAAUCAACAAUGAGGAAGUAAAACGGGUCAAAGAAAAGUUUCGGCAAGCAAGAUCACUGAAGACCCCAGAAGAAUCUACAUCCACAUGUCCAAAACGACUGAAGCCAUCUCUAGAAUCAUGCAUUGUGGGGGAGGAUGCAACCUCUGUUGAGGCUCAUAUCAAGGUACUGCUUGAGCAAUACAGAAAGUUGCAGCCUGACAUGAAUCUGGUGAAAGACCGCAUGAUGAAAACCUUUGCAUGGAGACGCCGAGAAAUAGCAAAAGGAAUGUCAACUGAAGAUCUGUUGAGGAGAUAUCCAUUCCUAAGAACAUCCGCUGGGUUGUGCGAUGAGGUUGAUGCCAUGCACCCCUCUCCAGUCAACAUAUGCCACCGCAUCAGUGAGAACUUCACAUCUAUUCUCCCAAAUAUGCUGAAACUUGUCAAGGAUUCGCCACUGAAAAAACUAUACAUGGAAGCAAGAGAGGAUGCCUUGGCUGAGGAUAUUAAAAGGAAUUGACUUCAGGGGUGGACUCCUCCUCUUGCCAUCCAUAUUCAAGGAGAAGAUUGAGAAUUUCAUUAUGCUUGGACAGAAAAAUCCAUAACUCCAUACCCAACCGUUCAACUGAAAGCACAAGGGUGGAAAUUUGCCCUCUUCAGACAGUGCCAGAGUGUGGUCAAUGUCGAGGGAAUUGAGGUCUGUUCUUGCACUUCGGUGGAUGAGGCCUUCAUUGCAGCCUUCUGCAUGUACUUUGUCUUCAACAUGGCAUAUCCUGGAUACUUGAAGAAGACACUGACCUUUCUCCAGAGGCUCAUCGCAAACAUCACGGGGGAUGGAGACAAAUCCCUGCCGGUGACUGUAACUCAAAUUGUCAACCUUCUUCACUGAUCAUGCCUGGACUGCAUCAGUGUACAAAAUGCUCAAAGAGGACCUUUACUCUUAGAAAACUGAUUCAUCAUAUUGGACUUGUACAUGCACACGACCCUCAUUUCAACAUAAGCUGUGGGAUAAGUAACUGCCAGUCUGCUAGUAUCAUUCUUUUAGGCGGCAUGUUUAUCGAAAAUUCUUGAAAAUUAAGUUCAUUCUGAACGUUGAGACUUUGUGGGUGUUGUGUGGGAAACUUUUACUGCCUUGCUCUUAUGACAAUCACUUCCAUGCUUACCACGUCAAAGUUGACAAUGACUGGAUUUUACUCAGUCCAGGAAAUGAGUUGGACCAUCAAGCUCUCGACACAUAUUUAGUUGAUGAUAGACUGUAUGUUUCCUUGAGGUAUUCUGUGUAAGUAUGUUCUAUCUAAAUGUGUGUUACUUUUUGAAGUAUUCUGCCUCAUGUUAAUGUGACUGCAAUCUUUACAUAUUGUAAUGUUAUGCAUUGACAUUGAUUCAUUUUAUAUGUAGCUAUAUAGAAUUGAAUGAAUUAAGAUUUUUACACUAUAAAUGCUGCCAUGUUCAUCUCAAAACAUACAUUUUCAUUGAUGUUAAUAAAUGGUAAAGAAGCAAUUAUUGUGUAGACAAUUCUGGUACAUUUGUCUCCUCCAGAAUAGCUUGUCACUGGGGGG